GUUCCCAUAGCUCUGCCACGGUUGCCAGCAUCAGGCCCUCCUCUCAUUCCAUCUCCUUUGCUGCGGGAGUCACUGAGACCUCAGACCUUCUCUCUUCCAGGAACCACAGCCAACACAUGUGGCACAGACCCCGUGAGAAAACAACAACAAAUACUGGCAGGCAUUCAUCUUUCCGGAUAUGGAGAAGAGCAAACUUACAAUGUUUGUGGUACAUGUGUGUGCUCACCCUGCGCAUGUAUGUGUAGAGGUGAUUUCAGGCAUGGCCUUUAUUCUUUGCCAUCUUAUUUUCUGAGAUGGUGUCUCUCGCUGAAACUGAAAUCCAUCACUUCCUCUACACUGGUUGCUUUUGCGCACUGGUACCAGGGUUAUGUGCGUAUGCUAGCACACCCAGCUUUUACAUGGGUUCUGAGGAUCCAAACGCCGGUGCUCACACUUGUAUAACAAGUGGUUCAUCAUGAACCAUCUUCCCUGCUCUCAAAUAUUUUCUAACUGUUGUACACAAAAUUUAAUAUCACAAGAAGUCUAAAAUUUAAUGCAUAAUACACCAACUAAAAAUUUUAAUGCUGGGUAGACACCUAUAGAAAGUAUAAUUAUAACUUUUCAACUUCUAUGCAUUUUAAAAUAAAUUCUUAUUCCAAAUUA